GACAGAGGGGGCAAGCGUUGCUCGGAAUUACUGGGCGUAAAGGGCGCGUAGGCGGAAUGGCAAGUCGGUCGUGAAAUCCUUCGGCUCAACCGAAGAACGUCGAUCGAAACUGCCGUUCUUGAGGACUGCAGAGGAGACUGGAAUUCCCGGUGUAGCGGUGAAAUGUGUAGAGAUCGGGAGGAACACCGGUGGCGAAGGCGGGUCUCUGGGCAAUUCCUGACGCUGAGGCGCGAAAGCGUGGGGAGCAAACGGG
rnacentral:rRNA from 1 species